rnacentral:tRNA from 1 species
CAAUAGCUCAGUCGGUUAGAGCACCUGACUGUUAAUCAGGGGGUCGUUGGUUCAAGUCCAUCUUG